CGAGCCACCGCUGUUGACGCAUCGAUCGACAUCGCCUCACGUCUCACGCAGCUUUUCUGCGCCGAGAAUGUGUCUUAUGCAGAAAUAAGUAUCAGGAAUAUCGAGAAUAGCGAUGUGCGAUUGUCGGAACAUAACGUGCACCUGUACAACAAGUGCUUGUCACGAAGUGUCGAGUCGACAUCUCUUACAUUUGCCACGGACUCAUCUAAGAAUAGAAUUGGACGAUCGUCGGCAUUUUCAUCGAGAAUUAGAAGCGUGACGGUAAUCAGAGGGACAGAUGGAUGAGACGUCGCAUAUAUCAAAGGUACACACGACACCGAAUCUUUGUUUCACCGAAUUGAUCUGACGGAGCUUGUGGCCACACAGUGGGCGCGGUUCCCCGAGAGGUGGUGCAGUUCCGGUGGAUGCGGAUGCUGACCCAGAGGAUCCGGUUCGAGCCGAAGUAGAUUCGGGCAGGAUCGCCACGAAG